GGUGGCGGAGGUGUGGAGCGCGCUGGAGAAGAGGGAGCGGCGGAGGGCGGAGCUGGCGGAGGUGGCGGGGCUGGAGCGGCGGAGGGAGGAGCUGGUCGAGGAGCGGAGGCGGGGCCAGAGGGGGCCGGAGGAGCGCGCGCGGGAGAGGGAGAAGGGCCCGGGCCUGCUGCGGCAGGCACGGAAGAGGAGGAGGCGGGGGCGGCGGGCGAGGCUACAGAGUGAGAGGCGGGAGGAGAGGCGCGAAGAUGCGCGCCCGGCGUAGCUGCUGGAGUUCAGUUGGAAGUUUAGGCGGCUCAGGAGCGAGCCGCAGCGGGGACCGGCGCGGAGGGUGUUGCACGAGGAGGUGCGAGACCAGUUCUCGAGACUCGAUGGGCGACGGGCGUUCGACGAGUUGCUUUACCGGUUCUUCUUCAAAUUCGUAGCGGGCGGGCGCCUGUAGUAUAGGAUGUUAUGAGAGGAGCGACCCAAGAGGCUCGUCCUGCUACGGCUCCUCAAACUCUUCGACGAGUUCCUUUAGUUACUCUUGUUCGACCUCGGAUUACAGCAGUGUAUGUUAACGGCCUACGCCACCAAACGUUCCUUCCCCCUUUGGAAGUUCCCGCUCCUCGACGAGCUACACUACCUCAGUUUUCCGCACGACGGGUUAAUGCAAUGAAUGUUACGCGAACACGUCCCCAUGACGUUCCUCCCCUUACGGCCCCGGCGGUACGCUCAUAAGUUCUCCUACUUCCACUACUUCUCCGCCCUCCCCUCCUCACUGAACCCUCACAGCCACGUGAGCGUCUGUAUACAGGACGACAAAUUCUCAAACCAUCUCUUCCUUUCCGAACUACUACGUGACACCGAAACAUUGUCGACGAAACGUUACUUCCGUCGGGGUAGUAAACUCCGACAGUUCCCAAAUCAGCUCCCCAACCAGUUCCCUCCCUCCAGACGUCUCCGGUUCCCACAACAACGAUUCUACUCGAAAGAACACUUUCCCCUACGAUUUCAACGAACCCUCUUCUAACGACCACUUAAUAGAGAACUUCUCCCUCGUGGUUCAAGUCUAGGUACUAAACAACCUCCGUACGUUCAGUCAAGACUAAAUAAGUUCACAAAACCGGAAACUUAUUGCAACUACUUCUUCUUCCCGUAAGUGUACCCAAGAUCAUAACAGAAGUACAAUAGUACCCGGAUAGAAAGUUCCAGGUUAUCAAUCUAGUCUCACAUUACAGAGAUAUUCCGUCUUACCAGUCACGGUAAAGUAUUAGGGAAAAGACGUUCUCGAAGAAGAUAAAACAACGGAAAACCGUUAUGAAUUUUUCUAUAAUGUAAACAAUUUCACGAUUCCCCUAGAACUAUGAUAGAUGAUAGAUAGUGACAUUGGCAAACAAAUCAUAUUAAGUCUUAUCAAAAUAUAUUACCAUACAAAGUUCGGAGUCAACAAGACGAAGAAAAAGGAAGACUCUCCUUCCAUCAUGGUCAUAAUCAAACG
rnacentral:rRNA from 1 species